rnacentral:rRNA from 1 species
UACGAAGGGUGCAAACGUUGCUCGGAAUUAUUGGGCGUAAAGCGCACGUAGGCGGCUUAGCAAGUCGGAAGUGAAAGCCCUUGGCUCAACCAAGGAAGUGCUUUCGAAACUGCUGAGCUUGAGUAGUUAAGAGGAUCGCGGAAUUCCCGGUGUAGAGGUGAAAUUCGUAGAUAUCAGGAGGAACACCGGUGGCGAAGGCGGUUCUCUGGGCAUUACCUGACGCUGAGGAGCGAAAGUGUGGGGAGC